rnacentral:rRNA from 1 species
UACGUAGGGUGCGAGCGUUAAUCGGAAUUACUGGGCGUAAAGCGCGUGUAGGCGGCUGCCAAAGUCGGGUGUGAAAGCCUUGAGCUCAACUCAAGAAUGGCACUCGAUACUUGGUGGCUAGAGGACCGGAGAGGAUAGUGGAAUUCCCAGUGUAGUGGUGAAAUACGUAGAGAUUGGGAAGAACACCAGUGGCGAAGGCGGCUAUCUGGACGGUUUCUGACGCUAAGACGCGAAAGCGUGGGGAGCAAACAGG